UACGUAGGGUGCGAGCGUUGUCCGGAAUUAUUGGGCGUAAAGGGCUCGUAGGCGGCCAACUAAGUCAGACGUGAAAUCCCUCGGCUUAACCGGGGAACUGCGUCUGAUACUGGAUGGCUUGAGUUUGGGAGAGGGAUGCGGAAUUCCAGGUGUAGCGGUGAAAUGCGUAGAUAUCUGGAGGAACACCGGUGGCGAAGGCGGCAUCCUGGACCGGCAUUGACGCUGAGGCGCGAAAGCCAGGGGAGCAAACGGG
rnacentral:rRNA from 1 species